rnacentral:rRNA from 1 species
AUUGAACGCUGGCGGCAUGCCUUACACAUGCAAGUCGAACGGCAGCACGGGUGCUUGCACCUGGUGGCGAGUGGCGAACGGGUGAGUAAUACAUCGGAACAUGUCCUGUAGGGGGGGAUAGCCCGGCGAAAGCCGGAUUAAUACCGCAUACGAUCGACGGAUGAAAGCGGGGGACCUUCGGGCCUCGCGCUAUAGGGUUGGCCGAUGGCUGAUUAGCUAGUUGGUGGGGUAAAGGCCUACCAAGGCGACGAUCAGUAGCUGGUCUGAGAGGACGACCAGCCACACUGGGACUGAGACACGGCCCAGACUCCUACGGGAGGCAGCAGUGGGGAAUUUUGGACAAAGGGCGAAAGCCUGAUCCAGCAAUGCCGCGUGUGUGAAGAAGGCCUUCGGGUUGUAAAGCACUUUUGUCCGGAAAGAAAUCCUUGGCCCUAAUACGGUCGGGGGAUGACGGUACCGGAAGAAUAAGCACCGGCUAACUACGUG